UACGUAGGGGGCAAGCGUUGUCCGGAUUUAUUGGGCGUAAAGAGCGUGUAGGCGGCCAGGUAGGUCUGCUGUGAAAACUCGAGGCUUAACCUCGAGCUGUCGGCGGAAACCAUCUGGCUAGAGUCCGGAAGAGGAGAAUGGAAUUCCCGGUGUAGCGGUGAAAUGCGUAGAGAUGUGGAGGAACACCGAUGGCGAAGGCAGCCUCCUGGGCCAGCACUGACGCUCAUGCACGAAAGCGUGGGGAGCAAACAGG
rnacentral:rRNA from 1 species